UCCCUGGUGGCUCAGAGGGUAAAGCGUCUGUCUGCAAUGUGGGAGACCUGGGUUCAAUCCCCGGGUUGGGAA
rnacentral:tRNA from 1 species